rnacentral:lncRNA from 1 species
GUUUAAUAAUUGCUUUAUUGCUACUUAGUGUAAAGUGAGACUCUCAGACCUGAUAGUAUUUUCGGGAAAUUUCAUUUAGAGAAUCCUCAUCUUCAUUGCUUUUCUAGGGAAGUUCCAAAGGGUUUCGUUAACACUGCUUAAAGACGCCCGUAGCCUUAUGAUUCAGACUCCAAGAUGAAAAGACGAAAACUGAACAAAAUUCCAUUAACAAGAGAGAGUAAAUGACGCCAAUAUGCUGGCUCGCUGGUUUUCUUCGAAUUCGUAAAUAUCUAGAUCAUAUAUUCUGGGACAUUUGGAAGGAAACGGAAGCAAAUUGAAAUCAGUGCAAUUAUUAAUUCCGGGUCUUAAUUUCAUAACAACUUGUGAUAUAUCUCGAACAUGGAUGGAUGAAAAAACACUGAUUCAAUUGUAGCAGGGUUGAAAGAGAUGUUUGCCAAAACACAUGCACGAGACCAACCCACGCAAUGCAUUUCUUUGUCGGCCAUGUUCCAUGGAAACUACUUGUUAUUGAAGUUUGCAAACAUUUUAUGCAGUUGGAGACCAUCAUAUUCAACUUUCACGAAUGGAUUACUUACAGUUUUUAAAUUUUAGAGAUCAUCUACCGGACGCGAAAUUUUUUAAGCUUUCGUAACAGAAUUUUUGAUGACCAAGCAACGUUUGUCGAAAGAUGCUAAAACAUCAGCAGUCAACUUAAAAGUGGAAAAGCUGCAACUCGUCGAUAAACGAUGCAGUGAGUACGGAAAACAAGUUCAAAAUGCUAAAAACUCUUACUUAAAAAAUAAAAUCUUUAUUUCUUUGAUCGAAGAAAAAAAACAUCAGGAUUGAUCUUUUUAUACUUUAGAAAUAUUUGUCAGAAAACCCUUUCGAGGCAUAGAGCAUUUGACUCAAUACAAACGUCAGUUACGAUUUCUUUUAUUUGCCUCCCGACCAGAAAUUUUAUUUGAUCAAAUUUUAUUUUGGUUCGUGGAUCAAACACAGAUAAGAAACGCAAAGUCGUACAUCAGUUUGCGACAAAAUCCUACAGAAAUAAGGUUUUUAAGAGUAAAAACCACAUCUGUUGAAUGACUUUAUACUCCGGCCGUAGGUGUCUGCGCUGUGCUUGCGCUCAAUGCCGAAGGUUGCGCCAACACUCAACAACGUGGUGCCCUAUAAUUCCAGAAUCUGCUGCUUUGAAAAAUUUUAUAUUAAGUGUUCACGUUCUCUAAGAUCCAUUUAAAUCAACAGUUGAGCCAGUUCUGAUAGUUGAAAACAAGCACAAAUAACUAAAAUUGAAUAUAAAAGCUUCAAUUUUAUCUCCGAUUUUUGUACGUAUUCACACACACACUAUCGUACAAUUGGAAACUCACCUGUUGGUCUCUAAAAGUUUUUCAGUCGCGAAGACCGUUUAAUCCUCUGUGCGGCCGCGUUCUAAAUAAUAAAAUAAGGAAAAAAAUAAUCGAAUUGUUCCAAUUGUAAGUAUUGAAAACAAUAUCUAAAUUUGAUGUCGACCUUUUCAGCUUAUUUCAUGAACUAUACUCACCCAAAACUUCAUCAACGGUCGGUUGCGAUCAACUGUUCUUUUGCGUUCUUUAAAGACACGAUUCCCAGAUUUUCAUAGUUUUUAUAGAAGCCGAUUAAUCCUGACCAUUUGGUAUUAGAUACUUCGAUAUUCAAUCGAAGAGAGUUAUUCUCCUCGCCGAUAGCGUGGCAGCGUUAUAUGCGUCUGGCCCUCAUUCAUCAACUUAUGAUUGACAUUUUAGAGGUACUCUACUGUGAGUCGUUUAUUAGGGGUGGGGUAGGGGUCAAAGGUAAAGACGUAAUGAUCCGGGUGGAUGAAGACUUGUAACUAUACUAGUAAAAAGACUGUUGAAGAAUAUCUUAACUGAGCUUCUGCAGAAUUCCGUGGUUUCUAUUUACUUUUGUAACAAACACAAGAGAGAAGAACACCUUGGUAUACAAUUCACCAAAGGGGAAUGGUUUCAUCCUUUACAUAUGAAAGAUGUUGCAAAUAAUUUUACAACACGUAGUUAAGUGGAGGUGAAGUAUGAUUUAAAUCAUGGGUAUUGGGGCUCAAAGGGAUUAGCCAUUUGUAGCCAUAAAAUAGCAAAAAAAUUUAGCGGUUAGGCAUAAAAGUUGACAAGUUUGAGCCAUAAGUCGUAGAAAAAGUUGAGCGUAAAAUUGUUUUGCUAACUUUAUCAGAAACAAAAUGAAUGGAUAGCUCUGGCCAAAAUUUUAACCAUCAGCUGUAAAACCCAUCAGCCCAUUGAGACCCUCUUGGUAGAAAAUCCCUCUUUUUAUCAUAGCUUUCGUAUUGUUUAGCUAGAUAUAAAGUUCAUCAUCUGUCUUAAAUCAGUUUGUUUGACAUGGGUACCUACUACUUCUGAUUCAACUCAACAGUUAAUGAUUAGUAGCAUACUGGAGUGGGAGUCCAGACAUCCAGGUUUAGGCAUUGGGUGUUCCUUGGCAGGAUACUUAAUUGUCAAAGUGGGUCUCUCUGCUCAGAAGUAAAGAUGGGUAUUGGAAAACUUUCUAGGAAACCUGAUGAAAUACUAGAUUGUCAUCUAUAAUGGAACAGCGUUUAAUCUAUCCACCCUGGGGGAGAAGCAAUGCUCUUAAUCUCAUGGAAACAGGGGAAUACUGGGGCAGUGUGGGCCACUUUUAUUGAGUUCUGACUUAACCUACCUACUACAAUAAUUGCAUUGUUACAGUAACUGUUACUGUACCUGAAAAUAAAAUGGCAAAUGGGAGAGAGGCUUUUUGAUUAUUUUAUUCAACAGGAAGUAUUGAUGCCUGAACUAUAUGACUUGAUCAAUACAUAUAAACCUGAGUAUCUGUAUGUGAAUGGACCACAUGGACCUGACACAUACUGGGGUAGCUGCAACUUUUUUGCAUGUCUUUAUGAUGAAAGUCCUGUAAAAGGUAUAGUUUUGACAAAUGACAGGUGGUGUGACAAUGGCUGCAAAUGUCACCAUGGAGGAACAUUUACCUGCAUUGACCAAUAAAACCCUGGAACACUUCAGAUGCAUAAAUGGGAGAAUGCAGUGACUAUUGACAGGUAUUCCUGGGGCUUCUGAUGAGACCUUUCAACUAGGGAUGUUCUGGAAAUGAAUGACCUUCUAUUCCAGUUGGUUUCUACAGUAAGAACUAACUGAUUGAUGGAAUGAGUGAUUCAGAGAACAAAUUACUAACACCAUUCUCAUUACCUGACCCACAAGCAGAUGCAAAACAUCUCUGAUGACAGUUGUGGAGGAAACAUGCUUAUGAACAUCUGUCCAACAUCAGAUGGCAACAUUGUACCAAUACUUCAGGAAUGUUUACUCCAGAUGAGAGAUUGGCUGUCUGUGAAUGGUGAAGCAAUUUACAGCACUAAACCUUGGAGGGUUUAGAAUGAUGCAAUCAACAAACAUAUCUGGUACACAUCCAAACCUAAUGCAGUGUAUGCCAUUGUUCUCAAGUGGCCAUCAACCAAUGAGCUAACCCUUGGAGCUCCAGUUUCCACUGAAGACACUGAA